AUGAACGCUAGCGACAGGCUUAACACAUGCAAGUCGAGGGGCAGCGGGGUGUAGCAAUACACCGCCGGCGACCGGCGCACGGGUGAGUAACGCGUAUGCAACUUGCCUAUCAGAGGGGGAUAACCCGGCGAAAGUCGGACUAAUACCGCAUGAAGCAGGGGCCCCGCAUGGGGAUAUUUGCUAAAGAUUCAUCGCUGAUAGAUAGGCAUGCGUUCCAUUAGGCAGUUGGCGGGGUAAUGGCCCACCAAACCGACGAUGGAUAGGGGUUCUGAGAGGAAGGUCCCCCACAUUGGUACUGAGACACGGACCAAACUCCUACGGGAGGCAGCAGUGAGGAAUAUUGGUCAAUGGGCGUAAGCCUGAACCAGCCAAGUCGCGUGAGGGAUGAAGGUUCUAUGGAUCGUAAACCUCUUUUAUAAGGGAAUAAAGUGCGGGACGUGUCCCGUUUUGUAUGUACCUUAUGAAUAAGGAUUGGCUAACUCCGUGCCAGCAGCCGCGGUAAUACGGAGGAUCCGAGCGUUAUCCGGAUUUAUUGGGUUUAAAGGGUGCGUAGGCGGCCUUUUAAGUCAGCGGUGAAGGUCUGUGGCUCAACCAUAGAAUUGCCGUUGAAACUGGGGGGCUUGAGUAUGUUUGAGGCAGGCGGAAUGCGUGGUGUAGCGGUGAAAUGCUUAGAUAUCACGCAGAACCCCGAUUGCGAAGGCAGCCUGCCAAGCCAUGACUGACGCUGAUGCACGAAAGCGUGGGGAUCAAACAGGAUUAGAUACCCUGGUAGUCCACGCAGUAAACGAUGAUCACUAGCUGUUUGCGAUACAGUGUAAGCGGCACAGCGAAAGCGUUAAGUGAUCCACCUGGGGAGUACGCCGGCAACGGUGAAACUCAAAGGAAUUGACGGGGGCCCGCACAAGCGGAGGAACAUGUGGUUUAAUUCGAUGAUACGCGAGGAACCUUACCCGGGUUUGAACGCAUUCGGACCGAGGUGGAAACACCUUUUCUAGCAAUAGCCGUUUGCGAGGUGCUGCAUGGUUGUCGUCAGCUCGUGCCGUGAGGUGUCGGCUUAAGUGCCAUAACGAGCGCAACCCUUGCCACUAGUUACUAACAGGUAAAGCUGAGGACUCUGGUGGGACUGCCAGCGUAAGCUGCGAGGAAGGCGGGGAUGACGUCAAAUCAGCACGGCCCUUACAUCCGGGGCGACACACGUGUUACAAUGGCGUGGACAAAGGGAAGCCACCUGGCGACAGGGAGCGAAUCCCCAAACCACGUCUCAGUUCGGAUCGGAGUCUGCAACCCGACUCCGUGAAGCUGGAUUCGCUAGUAAUCGCGCAUCAGCCAUGGCGCGGUGAAUACGUUCCCGGGCCUUGUACACACCGCCCGUCACACCAUGGGAGUCGGGAAUGCCCGAAGCCGGUGACCUAACCUACGGGAAGGAGCCGUCGAAGGCAGAUUCGAUAACUGGGGUG
rnacentral:rRNA from 1 species